GACUUCCACGUGCUGUAAUGUGCGCGCGCGCAGAACUGGAGCGGAGGACGUCACCAUGGAAACGAGGCGGCAGCCCAACCGUCAAGCAGCUGAUCGCUGACACUCAAUGUAGUUUCACUUUUUUUUUAGAAAUGGUUUAGCGUCGUCAGAAAAAGCCCGUUAGCAUCUCAAAGAAGUGCCAGAAAAAAACCUCUAUGACGCAGGAGAAGUUCCUGAUUUUAACAUUUCUGAAGAGCUGCUGACAGAGAGGAUGAAAACAUACACAUUUUGAUGUCCACGCUGUAGGAGCAUUACUAAAUAAUGCUUAUGUUCCUAGGUUCUUCCAUGCUGAUGGCUGUGCUCUAGAGUCAUAUCUCCUGUCGAAGAACAUUUUUAGACAUUAUGAACCAUGAAUAAGUUUAGCUCCAACCCCAGUUAAGCAGACCUGAGCAGCUGAUCAAGGAUCAGCAGAAACUCUGCAGAACAUUGGUCCUUCAGCCCAGGACUGGACACCAGUGUUAGUGUCUGUCUCAGAAGCUGAAGAAAAAAGGUCACACCUUAUAGGAAAUAAACGCCCCCUAAGUGUACGGAAAUACCUGGAUGAGGAGAUCAGUGAAAUAAACCAGAUAAAACUGUCAGUGGUCUGAGACAGCUACAAGCCACAAAAACAGUUCAUAGUUCCUGCAUUUCUAUAAUGCAUUAAUGAAUAACAAUAAUUAAAAUAAAAUGUAAUGUCAAGGUUUUGUGUUAAUUCCAGCUAUGUUGAGUAUUCUGUGAAUAAUUUUGAUUUUAGGUGCAUAUUCUUAAUUCUUUGCAAAACAACCUGAACUGUUUGCUAUUGAAAGGUUGGUAUGAAGUUUAAAUAAAUAAAAACAUUAUAUUCUUGACAAAAC